AUUGGUUGAACGGUGACGAUUGUUUCAAAAGACCUAAUGUAAGGGUUUUCACAGAGGGUUAAAUUCAAGCUAUGGAUGCCUCUUCAUCUAGAAAGCGUGGGCAAGAGCCAGAUGAAGAGGGAGAGCAGGAGGAGAAAAAGUGACUUAAAAGAGGUGAGCUUGCUCGUGUGAAAUGUUGUCUGGGGGCGGCAGUUGGGGAAAUUGCAGAACUUGAAUACCAAUUGUGGGAAGCCGAGGAGGAUGCUGAACUAAAGGAGCAGCUAGCCUCAGAGAAAGUGCGGGUGAGGGGACUCGAGGUGGAUAAGUUGAAACUGGAACGCGAGCUCUCUGAAAUCCUCCAGCUGCCACCUGAAUCCUUGAAAAGAGUGGAGGGUCAACAUGUCUCUGGAUUCUACUGCAGACAUGAGGAAACUAGAAGAGGAUCAAAAGACAUAUGCACGUAGAAUGUUUGGAUGGGUUAAGAACACGGCAAUGUGCAAGUGUUUGGAGCCAAAGCUCAGUGUGAAAAAGAGUAAGUAAAACUUCAUAGUUUGUUCUGUCCACAAUCAAUCUGAGAAUUUUUCUGAGGCAAAGCAAUGACUGCACCAUCUCAAUUCUUUGCCUACAUUGCAGCUUUUGGUCACUUUGCACUUUUGACUGUUCUAGAACGUCCUUAUGUGUGUGGCCAGAAGAGAGUGUAAGCGACUAAUUUUUUCAUUUCACUUUAGUCACUUAACCGCACCUCCGACCACUUGGAGGAGUCUCAUUCACAACCUCCAUAAGUCCCAGUUAGGACUUGGGGCUUGCUAGCCCCGAGAAUGGCAUCCAUGCCACUCCACCUUUGCACUUGGUCUAAGUGCUCCACGUGUCCGAUCCCAUGACCGGCACUCCAAGGUACCACCAACAUACUAGCCCGUUACGCUAGGCCAUGCCCAUUCGCCUUGGUCACACCGGUGGUCUAAUGCCACCUGCAUCAUAAUCCUGUCUCUCAAAGACUGGGCCAUCUGUCCAUGAGCGAUCAUCCUAGAUCUACUCCUUAGCAUCCAUAGGAUGCCCACAGACAUGGGGAAUAGUCUUCCCCGACAACUCUUUUCCAGUCCCCACCAAGUCCCUUUUAGUCUAUGGCCGUGUUCGCCAACACUGCCACUGGAUCAAGGCCCGUAGGCCUGACCACUAAGUCCCACUAUCCUUUGGGACUUCCUCACCAUGUGACCAUAUCCUUGGUCACUGCAUUAGAGGCCUACUCCUCUUCCCUUUCACCGUUUGGGACUUUGGGACAACAUUUCGGAACACCGUGGCCUUACGCAAGCCUCAUGGGUACUCUCCCCGCCUUUCGUCUUUAGGUGCUCUAGCCAUGGGCUUAGAGCGAGGUUCCGUUGAGCCACGACAGGUAUCCAAGUAGGUAGUGCCACCCACACUCGGACUGGGAGCAUCGGCCAAUCGAUCUCCCGGGGGAACUAGAGUUGGCUCUUGAACACUUUACCAAGUUACCCCGCUUGUCGGUCUGUGUUCACUCUAGUCUUGGACUUCCCAGUGGGCAGCUCAUCACCCAACACUGGGUCCGGCCUUCCUAGGCCAAACUAGCCUUUCCUGGCCAAACUAGCUCUAUUGCAGUCCUCCCCCUUACUAUACUUUUGGAGCUCACCUAACCCCCCAGGGUCUAGGAGACGAAUGCUUUGGGCUUUCACCCUCUCAGACUUGAACUCGGACUCGAACUCGGACUCGAACUCAGACUCGGGCUCGGGCUUGGUCUCGGCCUCGGCCUCAGUCUCGGUCUCGGUCUCGGUCUCGGUCCCGGUCUCGGUCUCGACUUCGGACUCCAUCUCGGGUCCAUCUCGAACUCCAUCUCGGACUCCAUCUCGGGUCCAUCUCGGACUCCAUCUCGUGUCCAUCUCGGGUCCAUCUCGGACUCCAUCUCAGGUCCAUCUCGGACUCCAUCUCGGACUCCAUAUCGGACUCCAUCUCGGGUCCAUCUCGGACUCCAUCUCGGAUCCAUCUCGGACUCCAUCUCGGGUCCAUCUCGGACUCCAUCUCGGACUCCAUUUCGGGUCCAUCUCGGGUCCACCUUGGACUCCACCUUAGACUCCAUCUCGGACUCCAUCUCGGGUCCAUCUCGGACUCCAUCUCGGGUCCGUCUUGGACUCAAUCUCGGAUCCAUCUCGGACUCCAUCUCGGGUUCAUCUCGGACUCCACCUCGGACUCCAUCUCGGGGUCCUUCUUGGACUCCACUUCGGACUCCAACUCGAGUCCAUCUCGGACACUUCCACGUGUCAUGUGUUGGUCCUUUUGGGUCCCUUUUUUGGAGCCUCGCUUAUUACUCGCUUCGUGCUCGUUCCUCGAGCCCUUUGUUGGGAGUUCCACUCCCGCUCUCGACCUUUCAAGUCGGGGCUUUUUAAUCCAAAUGUGUUACGCUCGUUUGAUUUUCGCUUUGGCCACCACCACAUGGCACCCUUCCAGCUCCACUUUGGGGCCUAGGGAUUUUGUGUCUCACAGAGAGAUGCUACAGUUUGAGAAAGCUGGUUCUUAUGUACAGUUUGAAAAUCGGUCAGUUUCGACAUCAGAUGUAGGAGAUAUUGCAUUGCCUAUGCGGAUCUGCACGGGGCUCAAGGGAGCAUCUGCAUCUGAGCCUUUUAUGGUUUAUGUGCUUUUUGUGACCUUAUUCGUGAGGAUAUGCUGCUGUGAGGUCUCUAGGUUUCAUGUGUAUACUCUGCUCACUCACACCAAUGGCUUUCGGGAGGUUCUUCAUACUUUUGCUUCACCACAUGUUGUGAGUGGCCGGAUUUUCUUUGCGCGUGUGCAUCGACGUGAUUCUUCUAAAGAUAUAUUAACUUAAUAAAAAAUAAAACUGAGUUUUUUUAGAUAUAUUAAUGUAUCGAAAUAAAUUAGCUUCUAUGAUACUUUGGAUUUCCACAAUGAUAAUAAUAAGCAAAUUUCAUUCUAUCUAUAUAGCCACAACAUUUAUGUAAUUUUUAUUUAAAAUAUUUUUUUCAUUCAUUAAUAAGUUUCUAUACAUAUUUUAUAUACAUAUUUAUAUAGAAAUUUAACUCCAUAAUCUUUAUAAGUUCUAUUAUUUUAUUAGCAUAAUUUAUUGAUCCGACGGCUGUCGUUGGUUGAACGGUGACGAUUGUUUCAAAAGACCUAAUGUUAGGGUUUUCUACGGCGGCGAGAGGUCUUUGUAGGGUUAAGUUCAAGCUAUGGACGCCUCUUCAGCUAGAAAGCGUGGGCGAGAGCCGAAUGAAGAGGAAGAGCAGGAGGAGAAAAAGCGACUUAAAGUAGGUGAGAUUGCUCGUGUGCAAUUUCGUCUGCAGGAGGCACUUAUGGAAAUUGCACGCCUUAACUUGAAAUCGUGGGAAGCCGGGGAGGAUGCCGAACUAAAGGAGCAGAUAGCCUCAGAGAGAGUGCGGGCGAGUCAACUCCAGGAGGAUGAGUGGAGACUGGAACGCGAGCUCUCUGAAAUCCUCCAGCCACCACCUGAAUACUUGAAAAGAGUGGAGGGUAUUGCCGAAUCAGCAUUUGCGCAGGAGUACCAAAGAGUUGGGGGAUUAGACAACGUGGAGUUGUUGCGUGAGAAGCUGGAAGAAACAGGAGACAUGUGGAAGGCGGAGAAACUCAUGAUAGCACCUGUUGUCACGUUAGUUCAGUCGAGUGGCUGGGGAAAGUCGAGGACUACCUGCGAGCUUGCGAAUUUAGGUGUGUUCGUCAUCUACUGCUCAUUCGCUUCAUCUGGCACCGCGUACCCUCCAAGGUCUGCCUUUGCGGACUUCUUCUACACAAACGCCGUCAAAUUGCUCAGCUCGGGUCCUACGCUUUUGUCGCAGAGCAGGUUCAUGCUCUUCUGCAUUGACUACUUUGUGUCAUGCAUCGAGGCUCUUCUGCAGCUGACUUCCGGGGAGGACCCCAUGGAUGCCAAAAAGUUCUUGAACGAUCUCAUGGUUGGGGAGAACUUUUGGGGACUGGUACAGGCGAAGAUGGAGAUAGGAAACGAAGCCCGGGGGGAGUUUGCUAAGCGCCUUGACGUCGACCUGAAAAAGGGGCCUGGCGAGAACACCAAUAUCUGGGGCAUCUGGGAAAGUAAGGUGUUUAAGAAGUACAACACGCUUGAAGGUCUACUGUCGAAUGUUCCAGCUCCUGCCAAAGGAAAACUGAAGGUCCUGUUUGCCAUGGAUGAAGCCCGAUGGUUUACUUCGCAUGAUGAUCCGAGAACUGUUGCUGCAUUUGUUCCUGCAAGGAGGGCUUCCAGGGUGUUGCCUGAAAAUGGGAGUGUGUCGGUGAUGUUCACCGACACAAACGGGAGGCUAAACACUUUUGCGCCGC
rnacentral:lncRNA from 1 species